UGCAAGUCCACAUGCCCUCCCGAACAGCAAGGACUCCCUUCCCUUUGUCAUCACGGACACAGCCCAGGCAGUUUAUGCUCACAUCAGCGGGGAGGUCUGCUUCCCUUGGGGGGAAGGUGGCUGUUAUUGCUGUCGAGCAGGAACAGCAGAAGGAGAGCUGCCUGCCCUUUGCUUCAUCUGGUUCCCCACGGCCUGCAUCAAAAGGAACGAGGCUCCAGUUUCUAGAAAGCCCAGAUCUACUUGACAGCAUCUGAAACUUCACUCUCCUUGUGAGCUACAGUUCUGUGGACAGCUGCUUAAAUUGAUGCUUCUCCAGUGGAAUCAUACCCAGAAUGUCACUACUGACACAGAUUUUGAUUCUGUGCAUCCAGCAUGAGCCCUGAGAAUCCACAUUUCUAUUAUGCUCCCAGUUGAUGUGAUUGCCUGUGAGUGAGAAAACAUGUUAUUUCUGUACAUGUUUUUAUAUAAUCAAAUGACUUCAAUUCUUGUAUCUUUAAAUCAACAAAGCCUUCAAGGGAGGGCUGUGAGUUCUAGUUGUCUGAUAACCACCAGUUAACACAUUCUGGUAAGACCAAGAAACUUCCAGUGUCAAUAUUUGCAGAAUGGUUAUCAGUAGCUUAGAGAGAAAACACGAUAAUGAGGCAUGCGCUUUCAAAGAAAUGCAAAUCAUCAGCAUUUUUUGAUGAUGUGGACAGCGAUAUUGAGGAGAAAGCAUGGGCAUCCGCAACAUUGAGCUGAAAACUGACUCAGAAGAUGCCAACU